GAUGAACGCUGGCGGCGUGCCUAAUACAUGCAAGUCGAGCGAAUGGAUUAAGAGCUUGCUCUUAUGAAGUUAGCGGCGGACGGGUGAGUAACGCGUGAGCAACCUGCCUUUCACAGGGGGAUAAGACGGCGAAAGCCGUUCUAAUACCGCAUGAGACCACAGAGAUGAUAUUUCAGGGGUCAAAGGAGCAAUCCGGUGAAAGAUGGGCUCGCGUCCGAUUAGGUAGUUGGUGAGGUAACGGCCCACCAAGCCAAUGAUCGGUAGCCGGCCUGAGAGGGUGAACGGCCACAUUGGAACUGAGAGACGGUCCAAACUCCUACGGGAGGCAGCAGUGGGGAAUAUUGGGCAAUGGGGGAAACCCUGACCCAGCAACGCCGCGUGAGGGAAGAAGGUUUUCGGAUUGUAAACCUCUGUUCUUGGAGAAGAGAAGAAGACGGUAUCCAAGGAGGAAGCCCCGGCUAACUACGUGCCAGCCGCCGCCGUAA
rnacentral:rRNA from 1 species